AAAUACUGAGAAAAUUGCAUGGCAGGUCAUUUAACUUGGCAACGAUGUUCACUUUCAUUCAUUAACUCGCAAAUUUGAAAAGCGGAUCCUUGAACUUCGCAAGUUGUUCAAAUUAGUUCAAAUUGACGAAUUCAGUCCAAACUCAGCCAUACUGGCAACCGACGUGAAGUUGGCCAGCUCAGGAGGGGUCUUUUCGCUAUUUCCUGGUUCUGCAAUUUUCCACUUAAACCCUUGGAAACCCUGAUUCCCAAUCCAUGGUCCAUCAUGCCAAAACCUUAAAUUCCUAACCCUACUGAGAAAAAAAAAAUCCCCAAAUCUCAAAUCUUUCCCCGAUCCACCACUCUCUGAUCAUCAAAAAUCUCAAACCAAAAACCCCAACCAUAGAUGACGAAGUGAGAGGACGAGAGAUCAAACCUACCUAAAUAUGGAGGUUCAUGUCCCGGUUGUCGACGCCGUGGCUCUAUAGCGGGACGUCGGGUGUUCAACGGUGGUGCGUCUUGUCGUCAUUGUUGGCGAUCGCCUUCCGUCGCUUCGUCUCCUCAAAGCGGUGGAACGAAAGAAGAGGGGUC
rnacentral:lncRNA from 1 species